ensembl:lncRNA
GGGAAAGGUGGAAACCAAAACGCGUAAAACACAAUUAUCAGCUCUGGUCGAGGCCAACAGGGGGAAGAUGACAACGGGCUGGUUUUGCCGAGUCAAAGCAUUAAGGGCUGGAGCAAGAGAAAUAGCCUUGACACUGCAGGCUCGUCGAAGCACCACGCUGCGCCACCUAAAUGCCAGCACAAUAAGCAAAGAGACAGGCGACGUUUCUCAUCACAGCAGGGGGGCUCGUUGGGGAGCGCCAUCUUGUUUGGCACUUGUCGGAGAAGGGGAGAUGCGGUGUCGGGGAAGAGCCUCACAGCAGUGGGACAAAGCUUUCAUUAAGGCUCAAAUUGAGGGAGAUCACCAGAAGCUCACCACGUCUGGGGAGCUGUUUAACUCAGGUUAUGAAGUCAGGUCGAAAGAAGAAAGCAAAAUAAACCGAAAGAAAAUCCACUCCCAGGCAGAGUGCUGCGGGAAGUGGAGAGGGGAG